UACCACCAAUCAAAUUCAGUGCAUCUAAAAUAAAGUCUUCUCUGCCAUAAACUUCUUCCUUAUCUUCCCUAUCAUAGUUAAUGGCAUCACCACCUUCUUAAUCAUUAAGGAUCAAAACUUAAGGUGUUUUGGGGCGCCUGGGUGGCUCAGUGGGUUAAGGCCUCUGCCUUUGGCUCGGGUC